CCCCCCCCCCCCCCCCCCCCCCCGGGGAGGGGGGCAGGAGGAGGGGAGAGAAGAAGUGCAGACAGUGGUGUUCCUUACUGCGAGAAGGGGACAAUUUGGAGAAAAAUAAAAAUAAAAAUUAAAAAGCCCAAACCCACCCUUCAAGCCCUUAGAAAAAUAAAAAUAAAAAUAAAAAAGCCCAAACCCACCCUUCAAGCCCUUUCCCCACAACCAACCAACCAACCAACCAACCCCCCGGCACAUCUGCAGUUUUGGUGCAUUAUGCAUCUCCACCCCGUUUUCCCAACACGGUCUAAACGCUCUCGCUCGGAUCGACCUUCUCCACCGCUCCCUAUUGGUAUCGAUCUUAUAUAUAUAUAGAUGCACGCAUAUAUCCAUAUAUAUAUAAACACAAGCAGUCUGAACGAGCCUGGAUCGUGUGUGUGUGUGUGUGUGUGUGUGCGCGCGUGUGUCUGUGAGCGUGCGGCUGUGCGCGGCGGUGCCGGAGCCGCUGGCGGUGCCGGCGGCGGUGCCCGGCCCGGCCUGGCCCGCGCUGCCCCGCGCUGCCCGGCCCGCCCGCGGUGCCCCUCACUGCACGCUGGUCUGCAGUCCGUGGUGAGGGGGCGGCGUGUCGGAGUUGACGGUGCCGACCUGGGAGUAGACAUCGUCGGGGGUCUGCUGCUGGAUCCCCGGGGGGGUCAUCCGUUUCUCUUUCUGCCUCCGAUUGCAAAACCAAACCCUGACCACCUCCUUCUCCAGCUGCAGGCUGUCCGCUAGGUUCGUAAUCUCCUGGGCGGAGGGCUUGGGGCAUUUCAGAAAGUGGCUCUCCAAGGCCCCCUUGACACUCACCUCGAUGGAGGUCCGCUUCUUCCUCUUCCUGCCCUGGGCGGCGAUCUUGUCGAUGCUGGUGGGACUGCCCGUGGAAGAGUCGGCUUCCUCCAGCCACUUGUUCAACAAAGGCUUCAGCUUGCACAUGUUCUUGAAGCUGAGCUGCAGGGCCUCGAAGCGGCAGAUGGUGGUCUGCGAGAAGACGUUGCCGUAGAGGGUGCCCAGCGCCAGCCCCACAUCGGCCUGGGUGAAGCCCAGCUUAAUCCGCCGCUGAUUGAACUGCUUGGCGCCCCCCCCCCCCCCCCCCCCCCCCCCCCCCCCCCCCCCCCCCCCCCCCCCCCCCC
rnacentral:lncRNA from 12 species